GGGCUGGGGCAAUGCUGAUGAAAGGCAAAUUCCUGAGAGAAAAAUCACCCAAAUUUUUCAGUGCCUUCUCUAGCUUUCUAGAAGUUGUUAUGAGUGGACCUGACUACCUAGAGAGAGUAAUACAGAAGCUCCAUGCCGAUCACAGCUACCUCAUUACCAAGUUCCUCCAAGAUGGCCGCCCCUGAGGAGAAUCAUCAACUGGGCUUUACGGAAGAGAGAAAUCCAAACGACCAUCAGCAACAAAUGAAAGACUGAAGUUGAAAGGCAAGUCUUCAGAUUUGGAUUUCAAGAUUGUCAAGAAUGACAAGUUGGACUUGGUCUAGUUACUUCCACAGCAGCAGGAGGAACAUGUGUGUGACUCAGGAUAACUGGGGAAGCCUUGGCUAGGCUUUCCUCAUGUCAACCUACCACUCAAAGGGAGAAAACCUCCUGAUCAGAGGAGCCCAGAACCCAGGAAAUCCAUAAUUUUUGAAUGCUGGCCGAGGUCUGUGACCUCUGACUGAAUGGUUUCCAAGCUCUGAAUUCCUAGGUAUAACACUUGCUGAAGAAAGGAAAAGCUCUCUGAUUUAGGUGUAAGCAAAACAAUCUAAACAGUAGGAUAAAAUCGUGUUGGAGUGGAGUUCUGUGUGAGCGCUGUCUUUGAACCAAAUCAGUUCCACAACUGACCCUG
rnacentral:lncRNA from 1 species